AAGUCGUAACAAGGUCUCCGUUGGUGAACCAGCGGAGGGAUCAUUGCUGGAACAAACGCCCUCACGGGUGCUACCCAGAAACCCUUUGUGAAUACUACCUAAAAAAUGUUGCCUCGGCGCAGGUUGGCCCUUUUACAGGGUCCCUUCUCCCCUAGGGGUUUAGGAGCGGACCGGCCGGCGGCCCUAUAAACUCUUGUUUUUGUAAAAUCAUCUGAGUAAAAAAAAUAAAUGAAUCAAAACUUUCAACAACGGAUCUCUUGGUUCUG
rnacentral:misc_RNA from 1 species